CUGUCCUAAAUAUUAAUAAUCAUAACAUAAAUCUACCCUAAUAUCCUUCCAAUAAUGUAGACACUAACUCCAACCUAUUCAUAGAUUUAAUAUAUACAUCCGUUAUUCAAUACCAAAAGGGCGAACUUAGUUACAAUUUGACCAUGUUCGAGACACCACGUAGAGAUAUGAAGCUGGCAUUAAAUUAUUGGGAAAAUUUUUCUAUCUCACAAAAUAUGAAGAUAACAAUAGAAGUCAACUACAAUAAGUCCGCACUUUGCACUAUUCGACUUCGUGGCAUCAAUGAUGGUCUAAAACAUAAAAUUAACCUAGGAAGGAAUCAAUAUGCAAUCAUCGAUCAAAACAAUGAAACGCUUACCAUCAAAAAUCAUCUAAAUUUCAUUAGCGAUACUACUUUGAAAAAUAAUUUUAUAGUUUAUAGCAUAACGUGUG